ensembl:lncRNA
CUAUGGUCAAGACCAAAGAGCUGUCAAAGGACACCAGAAACACAAUUGUAGACCUGCACCAGGCUGGGAAGUCUGAAUCUGCAAUAGGUAAGCAGCUUGGUGUGAAGAAAUCAACUGUGGGAGCAAUUAUUAGGAAAUGGAAGACAUACAAGACCACUGAUAAUCUCCCUCGAUCUGGGGCUCCACGCAAGAUCUCACCCCGUGGGGUCAAAAUGAUCACAAGAACGGUGAACAAAAAUCCCAGAACCACACGGGGGACCUAGUGAAUGACCUCCAGAGAGCUGGGACCAAAGUAACAAAGGCUACCAUCACUAACGCACUACGCCGCCAGGGACUCAAAUCCUGCAGUGCCAGACGUGUCCCCCUGCUAAAGCCAGUGCAUGUCCGGGCCCGUUUGAAGUUUGCUAGAGAGCAUUUGGAUGAUCCAGAACAUGAUUGGGAGAAUGUCAUAUGGUCAGAUGAAACCAAAAUAUAACUUUUUGGUAAAAACUCAACUCGUCGUGUUUGGAGGAGAAAGAAUGCUGAGUUGCAUCCAAAGAACACCAUACCUACAGUGAAGCAUGGGGGUGGAAACAUCAUGGUUUGGGGCUGUUUUUCUGCCAAGGGACCAGGACGUCUGAUCCGUGUGACGGAAAGAAUGAAUGGGGCCAUGUAUCGUGAGAUUUUGAGUGAAAACCUCCUUCCAUCAGCAAGGGCACUGAAGAUGAAACGUGGCUGGGUCUUUCAGCAUGUCAAUGACCCCAAACACACCGCCCGGGCAACGAAGGAGUGGCUUCGUAAGAAGCAUUUCAAGGUCCUGGAGUGGCCUAGCCAGUCUCCAGAUCUCAACCCCAUAGAAAAUCUUUGGAGGGAGUUGAAAGUCUGUGUUGCCCAGCGAAGGUCCAAAAACAUCACUGCUUUAGAGGAGAUCUGCAUGGAGGAAUGGGCCAAAAUACCAGCAGCAGUGUAAAACGUUUGACCUCUGUCAUUGCCAACAAAGGGCAUGUAACAAAGUAUUGAGAUGACCUUUUGUUAUUGACCAAAUACUUAUUUCCCCCCAUAAUUUGCAAAUAAAUUCUUAAAAAAAUCGGACAAUGUGAUUUUCUGGAUUUUUUUUUUUUUUCAUUUUGUCUCUCAUAGCUGAGGUAUACCUAUGGGAAAAAAUAAAAAAAAUACAGGCCUCUCUCAUCUUUUGAAGUGGGAGAACUUGCACAAUUGGUGGCUGACUAAAUACUUUUUUGCCCCACUGUAUGUCGUUGUCAAAUUCCAGGUUUGUUUAUUUAGUUUAAAAGAGAGCGGAGAGAGAGGUCAUGUUUCCCGAAGCUCCGCUAGGCAUUGGAAAAAACUACUUAAUUCAUCGUCCAGAUCUACUUUAUCUUAUUUUAUUUUCCUAACAGUAUAUAGUUUGUUUCCGUCGUCCUCAAUCGCUCGAUUCAACAAUACAUUUUGGCACUUUUUAGUCCCGGAUCAGAGCGCAGAAAAAACCUUGGACUUUCCUAUCGCCAACAUGCCUCUGUAUUCGGAUAUCUCAGGCACGGAGACUGGGAAAUGCACAGACUGCGCCAAACUGAAACAGACAUUGGCUUUAAUUGAAACGAGACUAGCAGCAGUAGAAAAAUGCAAAGGACUAUCACA